UUUUAAAUUUUAAAGUGUCAGAUUAACAUUUUUUUGUCUUUUUUUUACAGAUUAUAAUCAUAAAUGAUGGCUGUGGAGAUGAUAAUAUCUGUCAGAGUAACCUACAAAUUCAGUACAAUUUUUGUUCCAAGAAGACUAAAAAUGGACAAGUUGUUUUUACAUCACUAGUCCGACAGGAUGGCAUCGCAGUCAUCACUCCGUCUGAUGAAGACAUAGCCUUGGAGAUCACUGUGACCAACAGAAAUGGCGAUGAUGCACAUCAGAGUCGCGUCAUCAUUACCCUCCCAGAUACUCUGAGGUACUCGUCUGUUGUUCACGGAGAAAAAGAGUUUAGCUGCUCCGCCAAUGAGAAUGGCACACUGAUAGAAUAUGAGCUGGGAAACCCGUUCCAUAGAGACGCUGCAAUUACAUAUUACAUCAUUCUAACAACUACUGGCAUCUCACUGAGCACAAGAGUGGUGAAUGCAACUCUGCAGCUUCAAACGACAAGUGUGCAGAAUCUACAGCCAGUUGAGGUUUUAGCCAAGGUGGUUUUUGAGUUGGAGCUGAAAAUGUAUGGGUAGGUGCUUCAUAUAUGGACUUUUAUUUAAGUACCUCUUUCUGUUUAAAGUCCCACUCUCAUCAUCUCUUAAUCUGUUGUUGGCCUUGCUGGCGGGGAGUUGGUUUUUAGUUAUGGUUUUGGCUUUUUUAGCCAAAAAUUUACAAACUGUCAUUUUCUAGGACAUAGUUUUCGCAGAGCAGCAGGAGUUCAUUAGAAAUUCACCUCUGAGUUCUGGGCAGAACUGCUGACAUGG